CACGAUUUACCCGAUCGUAAAACGAACAAUUCGAUCAUCUUCGUAGUGCUUUUAAACUUUCGUUCGAACUCGUGCAAUGGAUGGAUCAACGAAUCACGAAACAUCAACAUGGGUCCAGGUUAUUUUUGUGGAACAUUUGGAAUUCCCGCUCGAGAUAAUUUACGAGACGCGUGGGUAAAUAAGUAAUGGCAGAUGGCAGCAGCUGUUUAAAGACCCCGAAAUGGGGCAAAUUUCAGAUCCCGAAAUCGCUUACCUGGACAUCCUUGGUGAACUGAUUGUUGCAGAAUAUGUGCACGGCCGAGAACUCCCUCACGUGGUCGAACUCGAACUUGAUCUCGAGCGGAUGGCCGGACCUGGUGUCGUU